GACGUAGGUGGCGAGCGUUGUUCGGAAUCACUGGGCAUAAAGCGCACGUAGGCGGCCAAGUCAGUCAGGCGUGAAAUACCUCGGCUCAACCGAGGAGCUGCGCCUGAUACUGCUUGGCUUGAGGUCCGGAGGGGAGAGUGGAAUUCCCGGUGGAGCGGUGAAAUGCGUAGAGAUCGGGAAGAACGCCGGCGGCGAAAGCGACUCUCUGGUCGGAAUCUGACGCUGAGGUGCGAAAGCUAGGGGAGCAAACGGG
rnacentral:rRNA from 1 species